rnacentral:rRNA from 1 species
GACAGAGGUGCCGAGCGUUAGGCGGAAUCACUGGGCUUAAAGCGUGUGUAGGCGGGCGGGCAAGUACCUUGUGAAAUCCCACGGCUCAACCGUGGAACGGCUGGGUAUACUGCCUGUCUUGAGCCAACUAGGGGCGAGCGGAACAGACGGUGGAGCGGUGAAAUGCGUAGAUAUCGUUUGGAACGCCAAUGGUGAAAACAGACUGCUGGGGUUGUGCUGACGCUGAGACACGAAAGCCAGGGGAGCGAACGGG